rnacentral:rRNA from 1 species
GGAAACGGGUGGUAAUGCCGGAUGCUCCAGUUGAUCGCAUGGUCUUCUGGGAAAGCUUUCGCGGUAUGGGAUGGGGUCGCGUCCUAUCAGCUUGACGGCGGGGUAACGGCCCACCGUGGCUUCGACGGGUAGCCGGCCUGAGAGGGCGACCGGCCACAUUGGGACUGAGAUACGGCCCAGACUCCUACGGGAGGCAGCAGUGGGGAAUAUUGCACAAUGGGCGCAAGCCUGAUGCAGCGACGCCGCGUGAGGGAUGGAGGCCUUCGGGUUGUAAACCUCUUUUAUCGGGGAGCAAGCGAGAGUGAGUUUACCCGUUGAAUAAGCACCGGCUAACUACGUGCCAGCAGCCGCGGUAAUACGUAGGGUGCAAGCGUUAUCCGGAAUUAUUGGGCGUAAAGGGCUCGUAGGCGGUUCGUCGCGUCCGGUGUGAAAGUCCAUCGCUUAACGGUGGAUCCGCGCCGGGUACGGGCGGGCUUGAGUGCGGUAGGGGAGACUGGAAUUCCCGGUGUAACGGUGGAAUGUGUAGAUAUCGGAAAGAACACCA